rnacentral:ncRNA from 1 species
UAAUUCUUGCAGAAUAAGGGUGCUGAACUAUAGCAUAAUCGGGAAUUCGGUGAAAAACCGAAGCUGUUUCCGCAACUGUAAGUACAGGAAUCAUAAAGAUAUACCACUGUCGAAUUGUCUGAUGGGAAGGUUUUUAUGACUCACAACGUGAUUGAAUGUUGUGAACUGUACAAGCCAGGAGACCGACCUUUGUUUGAACGUAUGA